CGCAGUAUCAGUGCAUAAAGCCAUUCAGGGCGCAUGGCCUAUUGACAUGCCCAAUUGGCAUUUAUUGCUGGUUACUGGGGGUGUGGGCAGAAUUCAAAGGUGCAUUGAGUAAAACGGCUUGGGUCAAAGGCCCAAGGAUUCAUCCAAAAUAAAGAAAAAUCAAAUAGAGGGGGCAGCAGCCUCACAUCUCACUCUCACGUGCUCACAAGCUCGCUUCACAAUUCUUAAACCUUCCUUACAAAACGUUAACCUGAAAACGAACUACGCCGCACCGGAAUUCGUCACCGGCGACAGCGGAGACUCAAAUAAAUAAAAAACUCCAUGUCAAACUCUUCGUCUCGACCUCGCUAUCCCUAAUUCAACAUCAACUUCUCCCAAUUUCCACUCUAUUACGUAAACUGAAACAAGUUAUUCAAGAACCCUAACCUCUUAAAUCGAAAUUAAAUGAAGCAGAAAAGGAAUUAAAGCCUACACAGUUAGGGCUUUAAAUCCUUGGACAAGAAACUACAUGACUGUGAUUGAAAUGAAGAGAAUCAUAUGCGAAUUCCUACCUACGAGGAGGAUAAGUUCCUCGGUUAAUAUUGAAUUCGAAGGUGGAGACAAUGAAGCGAAGAACGAAACCCAGAGAAUAUACAGAUGCUUCUGAUGCUGAUUCUUUCUUUUUAUUUUUAUUCACUUCGAUAGCCUGUAGGAUCUAUGGAGUUGUUGUGUCGUUGUUGUAUGAACAUAGUGAAUAGGAGAGGUUCAUAGCUCAAUCGUUUAGAGCUUCAAACAUUGAAGCUCUAACAGCAAUGAGAUGAGCGUAUGGUGAGGGUUAUGGAUGGUGGAGAGAGAUUCUCAGCAAAAAUGAUGAUGAGAGAACUGUAAGUUUUAAGGAGUCAGUAAAAAAUAAUGAUUUGUGGUCUGCAAUGAUUGGUGAAUGAUGAUAUUUAUAGAGGUUGAAGAUUAAUGGAGUUAAUCUCAAUUAGGUUUUAUCAUAUCAAGGCUUGAAGUAUACAACUUUGGUAAUAAAGUCAAAGCAUGGUUCAUGGACAAACAUGAAAAAUCAAGAAGAAAUGAAGGUCUUGGGGACUAAAAAAAAUGGGAUGGCUUGUGGGAGAAGUAAGACAUGAGUUAGAGUUAGGAUAGUUAGAAACUUAAUCAGUUGACUUUGGUCAAUUGGUUGACCAAAAAGUCAACAGUUGACCAAAAAUAAACCUAGGUCAAAAUGUAUUUUUUUUGGUAUAGAAUGAUAUGUAAUGUAAUGACUUAUGAUGCAAUGCCUGUGUUUUGAAAUGAAAAUGGAUUUUGAAUAAAA